AGCGUAGGUGGCCUAACAUGUCAACUGUGAAAACCCGGAGCUCAACUCCGGACUUGCAGUUGAAACUGGUAGGCUUGAGGACGGUAGAGGAAGACGGAACUGCCAGUGUAGGGGUAAAAUCCUUAGAUAUUGGCAGGAACGCCGGUGACGAAGGCGGUUUUCUGGGCCGGUUCUGACACUGAUGCUCGAAAGCCAGGGGAGCGAACG
rnacentral:rRNA from 1 species